UUGAAGUAUGUCUUUCCUGGGC
rnacentral:piRNA from 1 species